UGCUCAUGUCUGACACAAGUGAACAUAUGAAACACAACUAACACUGAUCCCUUUUUAUAGGAGAUGGGCCUGUGAUGUUUGGAACUAGUUACAUUUUGCAGUGUCAAGUAGUAGAGAGCAUGGGAAGAAGUGCGUCACUGGUCAGUUCAAGACUGACUGAUAAAUAGGAUGGAUCUUGCUAACUCCUUUGUAAUCUAUUUGCUACUUAGAGAAAUACCUUCUGCAGUGAAAUAUAUCUUCCUCAGAACAAUGUGGAAUCUAAUUAUAUAAGAAAUAAAAUCAAAUCAAGAUACAGUAGAAGCUAUGUCCAGAUCAACAGAUAAAUGAAGAAAAAUUUGAUGAUGCAGAGAGAGGAAGAAAUGUAUCACAGCAUGAAGGAGGAAGAAGAGCAGUCAUCUCUGGUACCUUGGGUGAGAGCACAGGAAGAAAGCCAUGGUCUCGCCCUUUGCUUGAGAAUGUCUGAGCAAUGAUGAACUCCGUGACCUUGGGAUGUUACCUUACUCAGGUGAUCAGAAAACAUUUUGCUGACUUUUGACUUAAGCCUCAGAACAGAAAUAAAAAUCAUCAGAGGUAAAAUACUAGGAAAAUUUAAGCAUUAGUUACCUCCAAUAGCUAAAAAAAAAAAAACACCCACAACACUAAUUGGAUACUCAAAGGCUAUAAUUCUGUUCAAAACAGAUCCUGUUUUCUUCUGUGUAUAAUAACAUAAUGCAAAGACGUUUUUCAAAGGGAAAAAUAUCCCAUGUGCUGCUAUGCAUGAAUUAAUAUAAAAUGUCUGCUCAUUGAAAUAAUGGAUUUUCAUGCAUUUUUUCCAUUUCCAGUAUUUCAAGAAAUCUAAUUUGGAAAAGGAACCCCCUGCACUGGCUGAUUUCCUCUCUGUGGGGGUCUAAGUGUAAUUGAUACUGUACAACAACAAUCAGGCUGUUUUCAGCCUCAGAUUUUGUACAUAUAAGUGAGAGAAGGCAAUAUUUAAGUGAGGGGGAUAGAGACUGUGCUCACAUAAAUAUUUAAAUAUAAUAGGCCUAAUUAAUUUCCAGUAUAAUUACAUGGAUAUUACAUUGGUUACAUCUAUAAUUCAGAAAUUAAUCUGAUAAGUACUGGCUCAGUUGAGCUAAAGCAGAAAUUACCCAGUGUUAGAAAAUGUCAAAGUAAACAUGAUCUGAUUUGCAUAUUAGAAAGCAGUGGAGUAGAUAUUUCUGCUCUGAAACCUUAGACCAUUUUAGAUGCAGAAGAAAGAGGGUGAUAAACAUGGCAGGGUUGGCAGAGUGGCUGAAAUGAGAGAGUAAAACAAUGCAUCUGCCUAUCCAGGUAUGUCACUCCUGUUUGCAAGCUCCUUUUGACAGAAGUGAGUCUACUGGGAACCUGUUCUUCCAGAUGCUCAGGAAGAGUCUUCUUAGUCUCUGGAAUUUAUGAAGUCAACACAAAGCAUAGCAUUUGUACUAUUUGCUGUUAAACCUGCUAAACAACUCUGAUACAACCAUCAGCAACAGUAUAGUAAGUGGUUCAGAGAAAGCAAUCUGAGGCCAUCCCCUCUUCACAGAGAGAAGCUGGAAUUCAUUGUAUUUUGUUCAGCAGAGAAAUCUGACUGUGUUGUCAGGGACUCUUUCAACACAGCUUAAUGACCUAUUUGGCACUUUUCAAAGAAAAGAAAAUUCUGCUGACACUUUUUCUAUCUAGUAAAAGCCAAGAAAAACAAGAUCUGCAGAGGUGGAAGUCCGUCAGAGAACACACCUGGCAACAGAGGCAACCAGGAAGAUAUCGUUGGAGCACUCUGUUUGGAAGAGUAUCCAGGGACAGGAGUUUUCAGUGAAGGACUAUCAGCAACCACAGUAAUUGCCAGCUGAAAAUAAUCCAGCCAUUUCCAAGUAUAUCUUCUCAUUACCAUUCGAACAGGCCUCUCAAAUCUCCUCCAAAAGGGUCCUCAAUGUAGUUGUUUUGCCAAGCAUUUGCUUCUGUUGGAUCAAACUCCUUGCUAAUGUAGACUUAGUCAAAGACAACAAGACAUGUUUCACGCUGGCUCUGAAGUCUCUGAGCAGUAUUUGUUAGACCAUCACAAUACUGGCAUGCAGGCUUUUAGGGGAGGUUCCGGGGGUGAACUUUUGGUGUUGUGAACACAGUGACCUCCUAGAAAGUAUUUUGCACACCUAAGUGAGACAAGGAAUGGUAGAACCCUAAGACAGAAUGAUAUUUGCAAAGAAGGAGGCAGUGCAGCUGCUGGAAAAUGGAAGUUGAAAAGUAGCAUGGAAGGAAAUCUUUGUAAGCUAGUACAGUUUUCAAGUGUCCACGUAUCACCUCAAGUAAUCUCAUUCUCUUCAUAAAACAGGCAUUCCUGGACAGUUAAGAAACAUGUUUAAGCUUUAAGGACAAGAACAGAAACAUCAGAAACUAUUAAUUAGGUUAGGCAGCUUUGGGAAAUCUGUAUAAUAAAAAUAACCAUAUUCAAUCAUGGAAGAAAUAAAGGUCUCUCAAUAGGAUCCCUGUGUUGGUAUAGUGUCAGCUACGAAAUAACAAUGUGACUCCUGGGAUUCAAUGGACAUACGCACUGUAAAGUGUCGUAGAAACUAAGCAGAUGCAGAACUGACUGAUCUUGAUAUAAUAAGGAUUAAUUAAAGUAAGGAAAAGAUUGGCUAUAGGGCUUCUGGGAAGAUAUGUUUAAAAUAUCCUAUCUUCUAAAAUGUAAUAGCUCAAAGUUGUCAUAACUGAAGGUGAGAAGACAACAUCAGAAGAUUGGAGUGAAAAACAAAGUAGCUUAUUUUUUUCAGUGGGUGCUGAAAAAAAGCUUAAAAUUUUGAAUGACAAUAACAGUCUCAGAGCCAUACCUUACAUACCAGUAGAAGAGGCUUACUGUGCCUAAAAAGAGUUUACUGAAAUAUCAUUAAGUGACAUCAAAAAUUGUAAGAAUCUAAAUGCUUUAAUUUUUCCUCACAUGUGUAUGGAUUUUAAUUCCUGCUGGGUCUUUCAAAGUAUUAUUACAUUGCUGCCUGCAGGAGUAUAGCAAGUCAGUCAUUAGAUAUCAGAUACUAAAUAAAGGCUUUGUUAUGUAGGGCACAAAAUACAUGAUUGGCUUCCAAUCGUUUUCAAGCUCAAUUUUUCCAUAAUUCCUCUGUUUGUACUGAGGAAUCAGAAGCCACCUUUCAAGCCACUUGAGGUGAAAUGCGGGCCUCGCAUGGCAUGACUCUUCCAUGUUAAGUCAAAAUGCUUCAUUGAUGUUCUUUUCCAAAUUCUAUUCCUUGCUUCUCACAGUACUUUCUAAGAGUAAAAUCUCAAUCACCUCUGUCCUAGCAUUUUCUCUGGAAUCUAUCAAAUAUAGAAAUUACUGUCAACGUUAGUAUUUUCUGUUUUUCUUUCAAAUUCACACAUUGCUUCAAAUAUGUAUUUUUAAGAUACACGGUAACUUCUAUUUUGACAAAAUACGCAUCCCCUCGCCAAAGUCUUACCCAAUAACACUUUCCUUCAGCAACACUUCUCUUCCUUGCUAUUGAAUAAUAAUUAACAGAAACACUAGAAGUCCAAGGUCAAAGUCAUCACCACAUUAUGACAGUUCAAGUUCUGUACAUCACCUUGAGAUGCCAUUUUUUGUAAAAAUACAGUGUGGAUUGAAAUUGUUGAUAUUCUCAUGGCCAUAUUGCUGUAAUAAUUCACAGGUUAUUUUUUAUCAGUUUUCCACCUUUCAGUUUCACUUAGUUUUAGUUCAAAAAGCCUUUGCUGUCUAUCUCAGAUGUUAUAUUUGCACUUUUACCAAUAAUCAUCACUUAUCAGCUUUCAUGUUUCAGAUUACCAGAAUUUUCACUCCUACAGUUUCAGUUCUUCAGGCCAUAUCAAUAGUCCUUCAUCAAUAGCAUUAGAGAGCUAUGUAUGAGAUCAGUUUUAUUUUGUUCUACCAGUCAUCUUUUUCACUUUAUCUUUCUAUUUACCAGGUUACAGCUGCCUGAGUCUAAUAAAUAUUCAUUUGAUUAUUUUAAAGUCAGUCACAUUUUGACCUGUUUAGGUCAAGAGACUUAAAGAGCACUCAUGAUUUUCAGACUGUGUGUUUGUGUGGACUUGUUUCCAAUGUUCUUUUAUCAUCACAAUUAUAUUCCUUUCAUAUUGACCCUUAUUCUAUUAAAUAGCCCUCCACCUUCCCUUAAGAGUUCUUUGUAUACUUAAUGACUGGAUUUUUUUCUGUUUUCUGAUCCACAUAUGGAAGACAAAAAUUAAUUCCUUUGUUAGGGCACCAUUACAAUGAUCCUGUAAUAUCUUGGGAUAACUGUUCUGUUAUUGUUGGUAAAAACCUGACUUGGAUUUUGUUAGCACAAUGAUGACAGUUGAAAAAAACCAAAACAUUGUAAGUGACUGAUCACUCAUUAGACUUACUUGGCUGCACUUAUUUUUCUUAAUCAUUGAAAAUUCAGUUGUCAAAUAUGUAUAAAUAACUUUUUUCCCCUACCAUAAUUUCUGUCGAUUCAGAAGGGAUCAGAAAAGGUUUCCUUGCUACAUGACAGAUAACUCCAUUCUCUAAUAGUCUGUUCUCUGCAGCUGUUCUUUCACUGCUGUACUGUUCUUUUUCUUCCACUAUUAUUGCAUUACAUUUUUUCUCUGACUAAUAAUCCUGUGGGAUAGAUCCUGCUCACACUCCUCUUCCAUACAGCCUACAAAUUAAAGAUGCAAGAAGCAAUUUCUACAAACGUGGAAUGUUAGAUAUUGUGGUAACAGGGAAUUUAAAAGUAACUGAGGUUUUUUUUGUUCACAUCAAUCCACUUAAUUAAACUAAAAAGAUGAAAAGAGUAAAGAAAAGCAAGAGACAGCAGUGGGUAAAGAUACGAAGUAUAUCAGAACAAAACAAAGGAAAGCCAUACUCAGAAGUGGCAAUGCUUUUCUCAAAAACACUGACUACAUUAAGUGCUUCUCUCUGCUCUGGUAGUGGUGGCCAAUUUAAUCCUGUGUAGCUGGAGAUAUUCAGGAAGUCUCCUACAGAUAUUAAUGACUAUUAACAAAAAUACUUGCUCAGACAGGCUUUAAAAGAUUAAAUAUAAAAUUUGAACUUAGCCUUUCAGCAGAUGACGUCGCAUCUCUGCAUAAAUACUUGAUUUGAUGGCCCAUAGGUGUUUGCUUACAACUGUAUAUUCUAAGCAGGUAAAAACAUUUGUACAUGCUUGGCUUAAAAUGUUUUCAUGUUUAAUAAUCUAGUUUAGGCCACACAACAAAUCAGUGACAGUAAGCAGCUGGCAUUCAACAGCGUUAUUGGUUUCAAAACUCCCACUGACUUAGUAGAUGUGAUAUGGCCAGUCUUCCCAAUAAUCCAGACAAUACUGCUGUGGAUCAAGGAACAUUUUAUGCCACUAAUUCCAAUUAGUGAAUAGGGAAUAGAAAAUCCAUAUCAUAUGACUUGUUACUGAGUACAGAACUGCAUCAGUGUUCUCAUCAGAAAGAAUAUAAGGAAAACAAACAACAGGUCUUCCUUUAUGCAGAUUUUGAUCAGGAAUUUGUGGUAAGAAUUUGCUUGUACCAAAUCAUGUGCUGCACAUGUAAGGACUCGAUGGUUUAAAAUGCCUCUAUCUUUAAUGUUUUGUUUCUGCAUUUGCAAUGUGAGAUUUUACUUUGAAUAAAGUAAUAAAUUUUAGAUUGAUUCAAAGUUUCAAAUUGUUCUUCAUACUUAGAUUACAGAUUAAUCAAAGUGACUAUUUCAAUAUUGCCAUGUUGUACAAAUGAAACAACUGAAAUUAUAUUUUUGUUUUGAUGUGCAUUGUUAAUAGAUAAGAAAGAAAAAGAAGGAUUUUUUCUACAGCCUAGUUUGCCCUGGAGUCCCAAAUGUAAUUUUGGGUUAGUCUAUUGGUUACCUGAAGGUCUCUAUACCUGUCUACACAUGCAUUUUUUAUUAGUUUAGCUGCCAUUAUAAUAAGGUUUCCUGCACAAAUCUCCCAACUCUGAUGGUAUCAAUUUAUUUCUAGAGUAUUCUAUUCUAAUGAGCACCUUAACACAAGGCAAAUGUCCUUGCUUCCCAAUAGGAAGGGAACUGGAUGUUUUCAGUAUAAUAGAGUUGGAAAGGGAAAGUAGACUGAUGUUAGUGCACCUGCACAGAAAAGAUAAAAAAUUGUGUGAAUAACUUGGAUGCGUGUGCUAAUUCUUGAUGUAUAAAUGUUAAUUAAAGAUUUGCUGGAAAUGAAA
ensembl:lncRNA